AUUGAACGCUGGCGGCAGGCCUAACACAUGCAAGUCGAACGAGUGGCGGACGGGUGAGUAAUGUCUGGGAAACUGCCCGAUGGGGGGGGAUAACUACUGGGAACGGAAGUUAAUAACGCAUACUCUCGGUAGAACCCAUAUGGGAUUAGCUGGUGGGUGGGGGAACGGCUAACCUAGGCGACGAUCCCUAGCUGGUCUGAGAGGAUGACCAGCCAAAUGGGAACUGAGACACGGUCCAGACUCCUACGGGAGGCAGCAGUGGGGAAUAUUGCACAAUGGGCGCAAGCUGGAUGCAGCCAUGCCGGGGGGAUGAAGAAGGCCUUCGGGUUGUAAAGUCCGUUCAGCGGGGAGGCGUUACCCGCAGAAGAAGCACCGGCUAACUCCGUGCCAGCCGCCGCGGUAAUUC
rnacentral:rRNA from 1 species